GAUGAACGCUAGCUACAGGCUUAACACAUGCAAGUCGAGGGGCAUCAGGAAGAAAGCUUGCUUUCUUUGCUGGCGACCGGCGCACGGGUGAGUAACACGUAUCCAACCUGCCCUUUACUCGGGGAUAGCCUUUCGAAAGAAAGAUUAAUACCCGAUGGCAUAAUGAUUCCGCAUGGUUUCAUUAUUAAAGGGUUCCGGUAAAGGAUGGGGAUGCGUUCCAUUAGGUUGUUGGUGAGGUAACGGCUCACCAAGCCUUCGAUGGAUAGGGGUUCUGAGAGGAAGGUCCCCCACAUUGGAACUGAGACACGGUCCAAACUCCUACGGGAGGCAGCAGUGAGGAAUAUUGGUCAAUGGGCGCUAGCCUGAACCAGCCAAGUAGCGUGAAGGAUGAAGGCUCUAUGGGUCGUAAACUUCUUUUAUAUAAGAAUAAAGUGCAGUAUGUAUACUGUUUUGUAUGUAUUAUAUGAAUAAGGAUCGGCUAACUCCGUGCCAGCAGCCGCGGUAAUACGGAGGAUCCGAGCGUUAUCCGGAUUUAUUGGGUUUAAAGGGAGCGUAGGUGGACUGGUAAGUCAGUUGUGAAAGUUUGCGGCUCAACCGUAAAAUUGCAGUUGAUACUGUCAGUCUUGAGUACAGUAGAGGUGGGCGGAAUUCGUGGUGUAGCGGUGAAAUGCUUAGAUAUCACGAAGAACUCCGAUUGCGAAGGCAGCUCACUGGACUGCAACUGACACUGAUGCUCGAAAGUGUGGGUAUCAAACCAGG
rnacentral:rRNA from 1 species